rnacentral:lncRNA from 1 species
UCCCAACCCAGGGCUCGAACCCGGGUCUCCCGCAUUGUAGACAGAUGCUUUACUGUCUGAGCCACCAGGGAAGUCCUAAUUUCACUAUAGAUGUAUUAAUAUUCCAACUUACUGAAUUUGUUCAGCUGAUGCCAUCUGUGCUUCUGCUUCUUCCCUGUCCAAACCAAGAUUCUGACCUACCUUCACUCCUUCAGCCAAAGUGGACUGAGAGAGACAACCUGAAAUAUAUUUUAAGUAUUUCUAUUACUUCAGCAUAUGGCUGCAAAUGAUAGAGUGCACACAAAGUAUGAUUUUACAAAUGGCAUAAGUUACCAGAAGUAACAUAACAGUACUCUGCAUAAAUCUUGUUUCUUAGUGUACAAAAACCUGGUUAAAAGUAAGCCAGUGAGGUUAUAGUAGGCCAAAUGAUUUUAUAGAGUAAUUUUCUUACGAGUGCUGGACUCAUAUCAGCUUGAUUAGUCAAGGCCUGCAGAAGAAGCUGAUCUCAGAGAAGAACCUAAACUGUCGUUUAAAGGGGCUCACCUGAUUAAAUCAGGCCUACCCCUUAUUAUCUCCCUUUUAAUUGACCCAAAGCCAAACUGAUGAGUACAUUAUUAUACCUGCACUAUCCCUUCCUCUUUACCCUAUGCGUGCGUACCAAGUUGCCCCCAACUCUGUGUGACCCUGUAGGCAAUAGCCCACCAGGUUCCUCUAUCCAAGCAUGAAUACUGCAGUAGGUUGCCAUGCCCUCCUCCAGGGGAUCUUCCUGAUCCAGGGAUCGAACCCACAUCUCUCAAGUGUUUUGCAUUGGCAUGUGGAUUCUUUACCACUGGCGCCACCUGGGAAGCCUACUGUUUGGCCUAGUCACAGAGUGAUAUCCAUCAUGCUCAAAUAAUCCUGUCAACACUUGAGUAAAUGGAAUUAUAAAGGGUAUGUAUAUCAGGGAAUCUUGGAAGCCACCUUAAGAGUUCCUGUACCACAAAGAAAUAACUAGCAUUUAGAGCUGGAGCAAUUUAGAUGUGAUCACCUAACAUAUCACAAGCUUAUUUUUGGAUGAAGGUCCCCUGUGAGAAUCUAAUGAAAACUGCCCGAGCUUCCUUCCAGAAUACAUAUACAUACAGUUGGGAGCUCUGUGGGAGUCUGAAUUUCAAGAUAUGAUCUGUCCGAGUCCUGCCUUUCAGAUGAUGGACUUGCCAAGAGGUGACUUGACCAAGGUCACAACUACUAAGGGCUAGAUAAGACCCAGAUCUCAACUCUUAAAAUAGGGAGCUAUGCUUUCAAUUACUGCUGCAAAACUCAUUUAAAUUUGUGAGCCAAUGCAAAAAAGCAUUUAUGCAGCAUUUCUUAUUGUAGUUUGAGAAAUGACACACUAAUUUUACAGAAGCUUGUCUGUGAGUUUUGAAAUUACAGUUGACACUUUGAACACCAUGGACUUUGCAGGCCCACUUACAUGCCUUUUUUCCCCACUAAAUACGUACUUCAAGGUCAACUGUACUUUAAAUCAGCUGUCUCUAGAUUACUUGUAAUACCUAAUACAGUAUAACUGCUACGUAAAUAAUUGUUAAGUACACUGUAAAUACUGUGUAGCUAAUCCCUUGAAUACAGCUGAGGUUAGGGGCAGUGGCCCUCAUCGAUGGUUCUGCAUCCAAGGAUUCAACCAGCCACAGAUCAUGCAGUAUUACAGUGAAAACAAGUCCACGUGUAAGUGAACCCAUGUUAUUCAGGGGUCCACUGUAUUUUAUUUCUUUCUGAUUUUCCAAAAUUGAAUCUUUCAUUGUGGAUAUUAAGAAGGUGAACUAUAUAUAAACAGGCCAAUUUAGCUUGAAUUAGAGAAGUUACCAGUUGUGAACUCCUGAGGCCUAAUGGGUUAUUUAUCUCUUAAACAUGACGUUUUAAGCAUUUAAGGAGAAAAUGGUUUUUCAUUUUAGCAGACACAUUAAUGAAGUGUAUGCUUUUUAAAAAUAUGAGUAAUGAAAUUUAUAUGCCUUUAAAUAAAAUCAAAGUGCACAUUCAUAGUCUUACUGUAUUCAGUUAAUUCGUAAAUUAAGGUGAAAAGAAUGAAGAUUUAUAAAGCCUAUAUUCUGGUGUGAUCAGAAGCAACUGAACUGUAGUGUACAGUGAAUAUUAACUAUCGUAUCAAUGUACAGGAAGGUAGGUUUAAUGUUUUUUCUGUAAGACUUAACCUAGCAGUUUGAACAUGUCUUUAAAUUCAGGUUCUUUAAGUGACAAGUUUGGUUCAGGAUGUCCAUGUCAGGAUGUACUGUUUAUAAAGUUGACUUGACAGCUGCUACUUUGUGUAUAAGGGCAGGUGCUGCCCUGAAGAUCCUUUCAGAUUUACCUCUUAGAAGAGACCUGCACUCAUCGUUUAUGUUGUUGUCCCAAUUUCUGCCUUCACAAGUUUUGCAUCUUUGCAGCUCUAAAUAUGCUGCUUGCUCCAGGUUACUUAGUUUUUCCAAAGUGUCAAUUCUUCCAAGUUUAUUCUUCAUGAAGAAAAACUUUUAUAACUUUUUUGUUUCUAUUAUUCAAGCAUGAAUCCUGCUUUCCCUGACUAUAUCUUACCCUGAUUUGUAUAGCUCAUGGAUUCUUUGUAAGUCUGUGACCUUACCCAAGAUUUCCUCAUCUAUUUUUGCUCUUCUAACAACUGAUAAUCUGCUUAAAUCUACAUGCUGUUUGUUGCACUCAGUCUCCAGUUACCUGCCUUCCAGAUCAUUCCUUCAGUGUCCCAUCUUUCUAGUCCUCGGAUUUUUGAGCUUUUCAAGCCAUCUUUCCCCCAUACUUUGUACAUGGUUACCUUUUGACUGAUUUUAUAAUUGGCUAUUAUAAUGCUAAUAUCCAAACACUUGGACUCAGGAGGGUAUUUCUCUUACCUCAAAAAGGGGGACUUCCUGGGGGUUCGGUUCAGUCCCUGAUUAGGACUCAGCUUCCACUACAGGGAGCACAGAUUUCAACUCUAGUCAGAGAACUAAGAUCCCUCAUACUACACAGCCAGAAAAGAUCGUUUGGGGUCAUAAUUGGAUUUGGGAAGGAGUUGACAUAGUGGUGUUCUCCGCUGCCUUACUCCAUACUUGUUAUCUCUUAGGGGUUGUCCCCUUGUUCAACUCAUUAGCAGAGAACUUAUCCGUAAUACGUUAUGGGUAUUUUCUACUUCCAACCGCUUACCUUUGUACUUGCCUGUGUGCUCCCUCCAUAAACAAAUUAUACUUUGCCUCAAAUCUAGUAGCUCCCAGUGUGGUCUACAGGGUCCCCCACCUCUGUGUGUAUAAUUGGUACAGAGAAACUGGUUUUCACCUUUUUUUUUUUCUUUGAACCUGUUUAACAGGAUGGUAUAGGAAAGCUGUUAAAGAGCUCCUAUUAAAAUACCUAGAUGGUAACUUUGCUCCAGUCUGAGUCCGCUAGUGAUCAGAGGUGCUGAAAGAGACUGAAAAGUUUGUUUCCCUCUCAGCUCUGAUCCCACACAACUUUUGUGCAGUUCUCCCCAGCUGCAGAGAGUAAGGAAAGCUCAAAGUAGCAGAUAAGGAAGUGUCUUGUUUGGAUCCCUAUACCCCCAGCCACCUUACAUGUUAACAUUCAGAUGCCUGUCUCCUUCAGGAAGCCAAACACAUCCCAUACUGUCUACUACCCUCGCCAUCCCCAUCAGCUCUCACUUUACAGUGUGUGUUUCAUAUUUAUGGUAAUGUUUCAGUCUGUAGAGUCGGUUCCACUAAAUUGUAAGCUCCUUAAGGGCAAAGUCAACAGGUAAAGCUCUGUAAAUCCCAUGGAAGUGCCAUGAGUUCUGUGGGCACUCAAUAAAGGUUUGUGAUUACAAUGCAAC